rnacentral:lncRNA from 1 species
GCUAGCUUUAUCCAAAAAAUUGCCGACAAGAAAUGUGUAAAUUUGAGUAAAAUCGUGUAUGAUCAACAAAAUUGAAAAACAAUGGAUGCCGUGAAGACAAAAUUUUACAAUAUCGGUCUGAUUCCGGAAGUGGAUAAGGGUAAUUCCGGGUUUGGGCGAUCAACUACAUAAAAACAAAUUCCAGGCAGGUGACAAAAUACAUCUAUGGUUAUGAAAUAGAAAAACUAGAAUUGAAAACCAAAAAAUAUAUGGAAAAGAAAGAGAAAGC